rnacentral:rRNA from 1 species
UACGUAGGGUGCGAGCGUUAAUCGGAAUUACUGGGCGUAAAGGGUGCGCAGGCGGUUAUAUAAGACAGAUGUGAAAUCCCCCGGGCUCAACCUGGGAACUGCGUUUGUGACUGUAUGACUAGAGUACGGUAGAGGAGGGGUGGAAUUCCUGGUGUAGCAGUGAAAAUGCGUAGAUAUCAGGAGGAACAUCGAUGGCGAAGGCAGCCCCUUGGACCUGUACUGACGCUCAUGCACGAAAGCGUGGGGA